AGUCUAGUUGAUUCUCACUCACAGCAAUUUGGAAGACAGAAUAUAACUAUCCUGAUGGAUUUCUAAGGCUUUAAAUCUUUAUGGAAGUAGACUGCCUCAUUGCUCUCUCACAGUGUCUGGAAAUUUAGGAAAAUGCAGGAACAAACAGAAAUCUCCCUUAGACUUGUCACUCACUCAUCCAAGACCAACCCCAUUGCAUGGACAGCUUCAUCUUUCUCCUGGAAGCAGCUGGUGGACUUGAACCGCCAGUCUUGUGCUUAGCCACCUAAUGCCUCACCCACGGAACCGUCAGGAGCCCUUCACUCAAUCAUCAAAACAACAGCCUACUGCCAUUGGAUCGUUCUGACUCAGCAACCCUGCAGAUAGUUUCUGAGGCUGUAAAUCUUCACCAGAGCAGACAGCCUCAUCUUUCUCCCAAGGAGCGGCUGGAAAGAGAGAGGACCAGAUCCCAUCCCAGUGCGCCAUUAUGAGGGAAACCUACUGGCAUGGAGCAGCGAACUAACAGAGAGGAUGAUGGGCCUGGUGCUGACCCCCUUCCCCAGAAGAAUAGAACACAGAGGACAGCACUGAAAAUAUAGCCCGUGGAGAGUGGCAGGUCUCCAGACCACACAGAUGCAAACUAAGAGGAAAAGAGAGAGAGUAGAUCGCAUCAUGGCUCGCCAAGCUCCAGGGACGACAUCCUUGCUCAGAGCAGCCAGUGCACAGAGAAGACCAUAGGGCCAGCUCCACCGCAAGACACGAGACAUGACAUUCCUUCCCUGAUCCAUAGCGCUAUAUGGGGGCAGCACUGGAGACACUGUGUGGAAAGUGUGCCUGGUUUGCCCACACACAGUGGGAUGAAACGCAAAGGGAGUGCAACAGGGCAGCAAGGGGAGCAAAGUAACAAAGUCUCCAAGGA